AGCUCUGUAAGCGUAUAUCAAAGUUGUUUCAGUUAAAACGCUCGUAGUCGAAUCUUGGCUGAACUUACGCGGAGUCCGCAAGGAUUCUGCGGUUGAGGAAAGCCUUUGUGGAUUGUGUGCGCGGAGGUGUUUUAUUACACUUCCGUUGUACUGCCACCGUUUACUGUGAAAAAAUUAGAGUGUUCAAAGCAAGCGAUUUGCCCUGAAUACAUUAGCAUGGAAUAAUAGAAUAGGACCUGGUCUUAUUUUGUUGGUUUGUAUAAUUUCAGGUAAUGAUUAACAGGGACGGUUGGGGGCAUUUGUAUUCCGAGGCGAGAGGUGAAAUUCUUAGACCCUCGGAAGACAAACAGCUGCGAAAGCGUUUGCCAAGGCUGUUUUCAUUGAUCAAGAACGAAAGUAC
rnacentral:rRNA from 1 species